rnacentral:rRNA from 1 species
CUUGUUGGUGGGGUAACGGCCUACCAAGGCGACGACGGGUAGCCGGCCUGAGAGGGCGACCGGCCACACUGGGACUGAGACACGGCCCAGACUCCUACGGGAGGCAGCAGUGGGGAAUAUUGCGCAAUGGGCGAAAGCCUGACGCAGCGACGCCGCGUGCGGGAUGAAGGCCUUCGGGUUGUAAACCGCUUUCAGCAGGGACGAAGCGAAAGUGACGGUACCUGCAGAAGAAGCGCCGGCUAACUACGUGCCAGCAGCCGCGGUAACACGUAGGGCGCAAGCGUUGUCCGGAAUUAUUGGGCGUAAAGAGCUCGUAGGUGGCCCGCCACGUCUGCUGUGAAAAUCCAGGGCUUAACCCUGGACUUGCAGUGGAUACGGGCGGGCUAGAGGUAGGUAGGGGAGAAUGGAAUUCCCGGUGUAGCGGUGAAAUGCGCAGAUAUCGGGAGGAACACCGGUGGCGAAGGCGGUUCUCUGGGCCUUACCUGACACUGAGGAGCGAAAGCGUGGGGAGCGAACAGGAUUAGAUACCCUGGUAGUCCACGCCGUAAACGUUGGGCGCUAGGUGUGGGGUCCUUCCACGGAUUCCGUGCCGCAGCUAACGCAUUAAGCGCCCCGCCUGGGGAGUACGGCCGCAAGGCUAAAACUCAAAGGAAUUGACG